rnacentral:lncRNA from 1 species
AGUAAGAUUAAAAAAUUGUAUUAAGUAGUUUUUAAUUUAAGUAAUUUAUUUUAAGUAAUGAAUCUAUUAAGUGUUACAAAAUUUUAUGUCAUAUUUAUAGUAAAUAAUAAUGGUGUUACUAUUAUUAGUUAUAACCAUGCCAAGAAAAUGUUCAAUAGUUAAUUGUACCACGAAUUAUUUAACAUUAACUUCAGAAAAAAAGUUCAUGUUUACAUGUUUCUAAGUGACACACAAAAGUUACAAUAUUGGUUGUCAUCUAUUCCAAAUGCGUUUGAAAAAGUAACUUCAAAUAUGGGUGUGUGUGAAAAACACUGGCCACCAGGCUGCAAAAUGCACAAGCCUCCUCGAUCAAAGUUUGAGUUAAGUAUCCUUAAAGUUGUUUUUAUUGAUAAGUUUUACAAUGACUAAUUUUAAUAAUAUAUUUUUUUAGGUUCCUAUUGAUCCCCCAUAUAUUUUUCCUGGAUGCACAUCUUCAAUGGUGCGCCAAACAGUCUCAACACAACCAAGAUCUACAAAUAUAAAUAAAAUUUCUUUAACAUCACGAAAUGCAAUACCUGAUGAAAUGGAUGAUUUCAAUCAAAUUGAUUUAAUUAGAUUUUAUGAUGUUGAAAUAAUGUUGUCUGAAAUAAAAGAAAAAUAUCCUCAAUACUUUGCAUUCAUUGAAAAAUGUCAUAUUGUUUGAUGUUUCUCGAUCAUGUCUACCUGAAACAAUAUUUUCUGUUGAAAUUAAUUGUAAAAUUUCACAUCAAGUUAAUAUUUAUUGUAGGCAUACAAAAGUUAACUGCAAUGACCUGCUUAGUUUUUCUCAUUGUCUUACUCGGUGGUCACAGCUUGAAGCUAUUGUCAAUAGAGUUUGUACCUCUAGUCCUAAAAUAAAAGAUGAGGUAUUAAGUUUAAUUAGUCAAAUUGAAAAUACAUACAGUGACACUUCUGAAGAAAUUUCUUUCCUCAUUGAACAACCACCACUUAUUCUCUAAAUGGACUGCACUUUUCUACUUUAUGUAUAUCGUACACUUGAAUUGUAUUUGUCCUCCAGAUGUUGUUAUCGACAUUUAAGAAAUCUGCUUUGUUUGCCCAGUCCAAAGACUCAUUUCAAAAUUAGGAAGAGUAAGAGAAGUUGGAAAUGAAAAAGAGUGCAGUAAUACAAUCAAAGUUGUUUUUGAAAAUUUUAAUAGUUCUGAAAAGCGUUGCUGCUUUCUCUUUGAUGAGAUGUAUAUUAAACCAAGUGUUAGUUUCAGAGGAAGACACUUCAUUGGAUAUAGUGAGGACAAUCCCACUAAAAUUGCAAAAACGUUAUUAGUCUUUAUGAUUAAAUCUAUGUUUGGUAAACCUUCCUUUGUUUGUAGAAUUGUACCAAUAUUUAAACUGUCAGUACACUUUCUUCACGAUUUGAUUAUAAACAUAAAUAAACAAAUAAUUGAUGCAGGAGGAGAAUUACUGUGCAUAAUAAAAGUUUUCCAUGGCAAGGUGUUAUAGAAAAAGAAAAACCAGUUAUUAUGCUACACGAUCCAGUUCACUUGUUUUAAACUAUAAGAAAUAAUUGGUUUACGGAAAAAACACAAACAAUUAGUUUAAAAAUUAAUAAUCAACCUCUCUCUGGUGAUUGGUCUCACAUUGUUCAAUUAUAUAACAGACAGAAAAUUUGUGUUGCCAAAACUAAAAAGCUUUCACGCAAUUCAGUGUACCCUAGUUUGAUUGAUAGACAAAAUGUUGCAAACAUGGUUGCUGUUUUUAAUGAAAAAACUGUUGCAGCAUUGAGAUUAGCUAAUUUUGAGAACACUGCUUGUUUUUUAGCACCAAUUGUUUCAUUAUGAAACAUGCUAAAUGUAAAGAAGAAAGGUUGUGAUGUUUUACCUAAUGAUAUCAAUAGGUCUCCUUUCUGACAAUCAAUGACCUUAGAUUAAAAGAAAUUUUAGCAUUUGCUGAUGCAACUUCUAAGAUGUCAGAGGGAAAGGGAUUAAAGCGUCAUAAUACUUUAACACCAGAAACAAAGCAUGCUUUAGUUAACACCCGACAAGGAUUGGUAGAAUUAAUAAAAAAACUGCUUUCAAAAGAUCACCAAUAUGUUCUUUCUGGUAUUUUUCAAACAGAUUGUCUUGAAGGUGAAUUUGGCAUCUACAGGAAAUUAUUUUAUCUCAGCAGAACAAGUAUUGAACAGUUUGCACCUUCAGCUGUUAAAAUUAUUCAGCAAAAUAGUUUCUUUGGAUAAAACUGACAUUCAUUGCUCACGCAUACAUUCAGACUCUUGCACAAUGGAUCUAAUGGAAGAGGAUAUUAUUUAUUUAGAUGAAUGUUUAAUUAAUGCAAACAAUGAAUCUAUUAAUGAUCAGGAGAAUGCUGCCCUUUUUUAUAUGGCUGGUUAUGUACAGCACAAGAUCGAUCCGUAGCGUGUAGUUGAUACAACAACAUCACAAUCUGCUAGUUCUGAAUUUACAGAUUAUGUUUUACGUGGUAAAUUGCGUUAUCCUGGUGAUACUCUUCUCCAGUUUAUUUGUGUUUGUUAUCUACUACAGCAUUCCAAUGUCUGAAAAACGUUUUCAAGUUGUUGUUUAUUUAAAGAAAUUAUUUUUAUUCUUGCAUUCAACAUUACCAUUUGAUUUAGAAACAGACAGUAUAGGUGUUGCGAAAGUUCUCAAUAAUAACUAACUGUUUCUUGAAAGGUGUUACGACCCUUGAUAAUACAUCUGAUAUUGUUUCAUUAAAGAUUGAGGACAGAAAAAGAAAGAAACUUAAUACUUAGUGGUCUGAUUAUUUAGUUGACGUUGGUGAUAUAAUUAAUAACGUUUUGAAAUGUAUUUAUGGCUUUAUAUUUAUAUGGUUCAAAAUUUUUUUAUAAUUAUAUAUUUAUUAUUAUGAUAUGAAUAUAAUAUAGUAUGAUAAGUAGUGAUUAAUUAGUUUAUUAACAUUGUCUUUAAAAAUAAUUAUUUACAGCUAAUUUACGCAUAAUUUACAGUUUCUUUGUAAAAAGUUGUUUUAUUUUUAACACUUAAUUAACACAAUUUAAUUUUUGUUUGA